CUCUCCAUGAUCUGAGAAUUCCUGCAAACUACUCCUAAUUCUUCUGACAGAUGGACACACUUAAUCUGCAGCGUGAUUCAUUCAGAGCCGAUUCAAAAUGACACAUCUCUAACUUCACCCAGAAAAGGAGGUGUUUCCCACAGCAUGCCAACAGAUGGAUAUCAUUUUGAUAGUUUAAGUGUCCGAGGAAGCAGAGACGCAUAAGAACCCAUAGACCAGACAACAGGACCUGUUCCGUGCGCUUUGAUCCACUCGAUGUGAAGCAGAUCUGUGGCGGUGGCCUGAACAGUGAGAUAAUGAAAGCAGGCUGGCUGGGAGAGAACUGACCCAGGACAAUGCUUCUCUUUCAGGCUGCUGGCAUGAGCUGUUGGAGACUUGUACUAUACAGUGAGUAAAGUGACUUUCCAGCUUCAGCACCUUUAGCUGAUAAA